UACGUAGGGUGCAAGCGUUGUUCGGAAUUAUUGGGCGUAAAGCGCGUGUAGGUUGCUAAGUAAGUCGAUUGUAAAAGCCCUAGGCUCAACCAAGGAAGUGCAUUCGAAACUACUUAGCUAGAGGAUGGCAGAGGAAGGUGGAAUUCCAAGUGUAGAGGUGAAAUUCGUAGAUAUUUGGAGGAAUACCGGCGGCGAAGGCGGCCAUCUGGACCAUUCCUGACACUGAGACGCGAAAGCGUGGGGAGCAAACAGG
rnacentral:rRNA from 1 species